rnacentral:lncRNA from 1 species
AUUAAACACGCCCGUGACCUAACGUAUCGUCCUUUUUGCUAUAGAAAUGUUGUUUCCAUAUGCAGGACUUCUUUCUCCCGGUCAAACUGCUGAAGCCUGGAGACGAGGAAGCUAUGGAAGCUUUCGUUAUCCCUAUAGCACUGGCAGCAACCAAAGGCGUAGUGACCUCCGAACCCUGCCAACUUAUAUUUGGCAGUUUGUAAUGGCGCUUCCAUUCUUCCUGACUUCUUCAGUCUAACCAAGAGUUUCUAGCCUUUUUGUCUAGGCUUGCGUUCUUCAUGCCAGAAAUUCAUUGUGCAAUUAGCCCCAUCAUUGGAUGAAGCUUCAAGUAUCUUUAUACACAGUUUUUCUGAUGCUGACAUGGUACAUUUAAAUGGAAAUGAAAAUGAUGAUGGCAUCAAAAUGGCAAGCUUUCGAUGCCCCUUCUUCUAUAUAGCAAUGACUCCGGAAGACAUUUAUCGUACGUUAGCCUCGAUGUUCCGUUCCGCAGGAAGCGCAUUAUGAGCAAUCUAAUAGGGUCAUCUACAAGAUUGAAGCAGGGCUCAAAAACAUGCUGCUCACCCCUGAGUGAAGGACCAGCCGACCUGGGUUGACCUGAGUCCCACAGAAGCCACCUCUUUCCUUUCGCUCAUGGUUUUUGUAUGUGAGAUGCAAACUUUGUUGCUGGGGCUAUCUGCGUUUUCUUUAUACAUUCAAACUCUGCUGUUUUGUUGCUGUUGAUCUAUUGUUUUGUGGUGGGUGAGGGACAGUGAGGUAUCCUGAAGCUUUUACUUCACAGACAGUUCCACAGGAAUAAAAUAAGAUUCAUGCCUAUAACCCCAGCAUUUCAGAUUUGGAGGCAAGAGGAUCUCAGGAAUUCAAGGUCAUCCUUGGCUCUACAGAGAGUUCAAGGCCAGCCUAGACUAUAUGCUUCACCUCAAAGAAAACACAAAAGCAAGGCUUUCCUCGUGGCUCAGCAGAUAAGAGUGCACAGCAUGGAAACCCAAGUUCAAGUCCUCAGUACCCAUAACAUGACCAUUGCACCCAUGAACUUGCUGCUGCUAUGAUAACCUGCACAAGAUCAGGGCAGCAUGAUCAGUCAACAUUCUAACAGACAGCACUAAUUAGACUCAAUAUGAGGGGAGAGGAAGAGGGAGAGGGAGGAAGUGAAGAAGGAAGGGCUAUGUUGGGGAGGUCUCGGCAGCAUUGGAAGGGACUUAGGAGGGGUAUAAUUACAUUCAUUGUUUGCACUUGUCAAAGAAUAAAUAAAAAUGUUUUAAGAAACAAUU